GAUGAACGCUAGCGGCAGGCUUAAUACAUGCAAGUCGAGGGGCAGCAGUUUUGUAGCAAUACAGAAGCUGGCGACCGGCAAACGGGUGCGGAACACGUACGCAACCUUCCUUUAACUGGAAGAUAGCCCACCGAAAGGUGGAUUAAUACUCCAUGAUAUAUUGAAGAGGCAUCUUUUUGACAUUAAAGCUCCGGCGGUUAAAGAUAGGCGUGCGUCUGAUUAGGUAGUGGGCGGGGUAACGGCCCACCAAGCCUUCGAUCAGUAGCUGAUGUGAGAGCAUGAUCAGCCACACGGGCACUGAGACACGGGCCCGACUCCUACGGGAGGCAGCAGUAAGGAAUAUUGGUCAAUGGACGCAAGUCUGAACCAGCCAUGCCGCGUGGAGGAUGAAGGCCCUCUGGGUUGUAAACUUCUUUUCUUUGGGACGAAACCCCUGUUUCUACGGGGACUGACGGUACCAGAGGAAUAAGCACCGGCUAACUCCGUGCCAGCCGCCGCGGUAACAC
rnacentral:rRNA from 1 species